rnacentral:rRNA from 1 species
UAGUGAGAUUUUUUUUCUCGCUCAGGAUGAACGCUGGCGGCGUGCUAAUACAUGCAAGUCGAACGCUUUGUGGUUCAACUGAUUUGAAGAGCUUGCUCAGAUAUGACGAUGGACAUUGCAAAGAGUGGCGAACGGGUGAGUAACACGUGGGAAACCUACCUCUUAGCAGGGGAUAACAUUUGGAAACAGAUGCUAAUACCGUAUAACAAUAGCAACCGCAUGGUUGCUACUUAAAAGAUGGUUCUGCUAUCACUAAGAGAUGGUCCCGCGGUGCAUUAGUUAGUUGGUGAGGUAAUGGCUCACCAAGACGAUGAUGCAUAGCCGAGUUGAGAGACUGAUCGGCCACAAUGGGACUGAGACACGGCCCAUACUCCUACGGGAGGCAGCAGUAGGGAAUCUUCCACAAUGGGCGAAAGCCUGAUGGAGCAACGCCGCGUGUGUGAUGAAGGGUUUCGGCUCGUAAAACACUGUUGUAAGAGAAGAAUGACAUUGAGAGUAACUGUUCAAUGUGUGACGGUAUCUUACCAGAAAGGAACGGCUAAAUACGUGCCAGCAGCCGCGGUAAUACGUAUGUUCCAAGCGUUAUCCGGAUUUAUUGGGCGUAAAGCGAGCGCAGACGGUUAUUUAAGUCUGAAGUGAAAGCCCUCAGCUCAACUGAGGAAUUGCUUUGGAAACUGGAUGACUUGAGUGCAGUAGAGGAAAGUGGAACUCCAUGUGUAGCGGUGAAAUGCGUAGAUAUAUGGAAGAACACCAGUGGCGAAGGCGGCUUUCUGGACUGUAACUGACGUUGAGGCUCGAAAGUGUGGGUAGCAAACAGGAUUAGAUACCCUGGUAGUCCACACCGUAAACGAUGAGUGCUAGGUGUUUGAGGGUUUCCGCCCUUAAGUGCCGCAGCUAACGCAUAAGCACUCCGC